UUGAUACACAGUUAUAUCAACACGAGUGGAAUUGGGAAAACGAGAAAUUGUAUGGAAACACGACGCACGAAGGGCGGAGUGUUUUCAUACAAUUUCGAGUUUUCCCAACUUCCACGAGUGUUGAUAUAACUAUAUAUCAAUACGGAAAAAAUGUUUUAUAUUUUUUUUUAUAAUAUAGCAAUGUCAAAAGCCCGAAGAAUAAGAAAAAUUUCCGUGUUUACAAGCGGCGGAAAAUUUCCCGUG
rnacentral:lncRNA from 1 species